AUUGAACGCUGGCGGCAGGCCUAACACAUGCAAGUCGAGCGGACGAAGGGAGCUUGCUCCUGGCUUCAGCGGCGGACGGGUGAGUAAUGCCUAGGAAUCUGCCUGGUAGUGGGGGAUAACGUCCGGAAACGGGCGCUAAUACCGCAUACGUCCUGAGGGAGAAAGUGGGGGAUCUUCGGACCUCACGCUAUCAGAUGAGCCUAGGUCGGAUUAGCUAGGUGGUGGGGUAAAGGCCUACCAAGGCGACGAUCCGUAACUGGUCUGAGAGGAUGAUCAGUCACACUGGAACUGAGACACGGUCCAGACUCCUACGGGAGGCAGCAGUGGGGAAUAUUGGACAAUGGGCGAAAGCCUGAUCCAGCCAUGCCGCGUGUGUGAAGAAGGUCUUCGGAUUGUAAAGCACUUUAAGUUGGGAGGAAGGGCAGUAAGUUAAUACCUUGCUGUUUUGACGUUACCAACAGAAUAAGCACCGGCUAACUUCGUG
rnacentral:rRNA from 1 species